AAUGAACCUGAGUGACCAGAAGGGCAGCAGCCAGGAUCCACCCCUUCCCAGCCCUCAUUUAAGGGUUGGCAUUGGAGGUGAGGGCAUCUCAUCUGGAGGUCCUUGAGUACCUGAGGCCUUUUAAAGCACUUGGGAAAAUCCUCAAAAUCUCAGCAUGGAGAAGAUCAGUGGUCUCUGGGUCUUUGACUUUGAUUUCCAGCACGUAGCCUUUGCCAAACUUGUUCUUCAGGUACUGAAUGGAGCCGAUGCACCUGCAGAUUUGCUUCCUGAGUUUAUUCCAAGGCAUCUUCUUGCUCACAGAGGGUUCUGACAUUCGGAUUUCCUCGCUACACCUUACGAUGUGGAAUAAACCCUUGACUGACCCCAGGACCACCCUCACCCCGCACCUGUUGAUGGCAGUGGCAAUGUCCUCCUUGUGCACACCCUUCACAGCAGCGUAGACCUUCAGACUCCAGCAGCCUCCUACCUGCCCAGCUGUCAGGGUUGUCUCCCCAGCUAUCAUCUUGAUGACUGUGCUCUUACCAGCUCCGUUGGGCCCCAGGAGUCCUAACACUUCUCCUGAAAUCAGUACACAGCAUUUCUUGCAGUAUAUGCUGGCUGCAAAGCUGGCCAUACAGAGGAAAGCCUCAAGAUGCCAUGCUCAGACGGCCCCGUGGCAAUACAGUUAUGACUCUUCUGCUCAUACAGGAUUUGCUGCAUCUCAAUGAAUUUACCUUGUAGUCCUGCAGAGAGCCCAUUGCAAAGUGAGGAGGGAAACCUGGGAACAGCAGCAGCAUGUAGAUAAGGUAGAAAGAGACAAAGGAAUCCCAGUAUUGUGGAUUAUCUGUCUGAAAACAGAAGAACAAAACAUUUGUAGAAAACAUCUACAGUCCAGUGGCGAGAUGCUACAGUUCAUUUCAUAGCAUUUCUUGCAGUAAAAAGGAACUUGAACUGUCUCUCAGUCUGUGACACUUACAGAAUAAAAAGGGUGGCUCCAGAUCCGGAUGUGUGCAGUGGAAUUGAAAGCUCUCAGCAGAGCAUUGCUGAUGAUGUUCACAAGCACUGGGAAGCAGUUGAUGGCCUCCAUGUGGCAGAAGAUGGUAAACCUGUAGCUCUUCAGAGAGCAAGAAACCGGGAUGAAAAUUCUUGGCCAGGAGAAUUCAGGACUAAAAUAAUAGCUGUCACUUAUGCCUUUUGUGCAAACAGCAUGUAGAAAAUCUGUAUAAUUGUGCUACACACAUGGAAUCGUCAAAUGGCUUGAGCUGGGAGGGACCUCAAAGGUCAUCCAAGUGGAGGAACAGAAUCACAAGGCCUCCUCUAGCACGUAGGUUACUGGUUAAAACACUCGCUAAUCUUUAUCCCUGUGGGCUUGAUGCAAUAAAGGUUCAGUAUAGCCAGAUGGAUCUUGUUUAAUUAGUGCACUGUUAGGAAGAAAGGUUAGGAUGGGAGCAAAAGUCCUCACCUGGCCUUCACGAGAUACUUUAAUGGCCCCAUUGUAUUUCAGCUCCUCUGUGAUAUUUUCCUUGUUUGUAAUUUCCACGGCGAGAUCUUGGCUCUCAAGGGCGUGGAUGAAGUCCUCAAUGCCUGAGCCUGAUGCGAAAGCCAAAAGCAGAGAAAUCGUAAUAGUGAGAAACAAAAGAGUCUUAGACUGUUUAUUUUUUUGAAUCCACGACCACUAAACAUAACCAGAGAAAGUCUAAUGACUGUGAAAGCCAGACAGCACGUAUGGAUUGGAUCACUGCACAGUAAUUUUAGUAAUAUUAAUGGAUGACGGCUUCAGUGACUGAAACAUUGCUUUUUUUUCCCCCCUUUUAUUCCUUCACUGAGUUGCAAAUGUCUUCUCCUGAUGAUGGUCUGACAAAGCCAACAGUAUCAUUCUCUGGCAAAAUAACAUGAAAUAGCAUCCGCUGAAAGGAAUGUCGAAGGUAGAUUUCUGGGAGGAGACUGUUAAAAUGAGCAGGAUUAAUUCUGAAAGAGCAGAAACCAUUUGGGUGGAGGUCAGGUCUUGAGGCAGGGGAAGAACGGGAUCCCCUCUCAUCCACCUGCUGGUCUCUUUCCAUGUCACUGCAUUAGGAUGUCAUCUACUGAAGCAUCAUCAGGCUUCAUUUACAGCCCAUUAAAUCAUGAGGAGCCCAGCUCACCCGUGCUGUUGAGCACCAGCAGGUUGGUGGUGUCAGCGUGAGCCCUGGUCCGCAGGGGCAGGAAGUACCGUGAUGAGCACAGCUCCCAGGCACUCAUGCUCUCCCAGACAGUUGUCAGUGACACUUGCAACAUCAGGGGGAGCAGGAAAACCACGUAGAGCAGCAAACUGCAUGGAGAGAGAGAUGAAUAAACACUUUGAAGAGAGGUAUUUUGCAGAUUGGGAUUAUGGAUUGGGAACGAUAGACUAUCUCAGCACGUCCCUUUCAUUUCUUGUGUCCCAUCUGGAAAUGUCAGCAUGGCAGACCGAAAACCAGUGGGGUCAAAUGAGUUCAGACACCGACAGCAUUAAAGAAGUACUAAAAAAAAAAGUAAUAAUUUAAAUGAAAGUCUGAAAGCAAUAUUUUCCUUCCUCGGACUGUACGUAUUAGUUCAUUGUAAAACUGCUUUCCACACCUGAAAUAAAAUUGUUCCUAAA